AUGCCGACCACCAUGAUGGGGAAUGCGGAACUGCGGCGGCUGGGCCGACGCCUCCCCUCGCCCCUCUCCCUCCGGCGGCUCCCACCGCACCGGAGGCGGCGGCGCGCCAGGACUAGUGGGCCAAGCGGAGGCCUUUCCAGCACCAGGCCCAAUGCUGCUCGGGGCUUCUUAAGUCAUGCCUUGGGCGUAAUACCAGCCCAGGCCCAGGCCCAAUGUUGCGAACUCGAGGUUGCCUACCGUCUCCUUUCAAAGGCGAAAGCUUGCGCGGGCGUCAGAUAUACAACCUCCGCCUCACCGUCUUCUUCCUCGCCCUCUUCUUCACCCUUCUCGGAGCGGAGAAGCUUGCGCAGGCAUCAUAUACAGCCCCCGCCUCGUCCCCUUCCUCGGUCUGCUGAACCCUUCCUCGAUGUGCUGAACCCUUCCUGGAGCGGAGAAAGACCAGGGUCAAAUGUGGAUUAG
rnacentral:rRNA from 1 species